CCUUUCUGAUUCUCGCUGACCCUUCCUGCUCCUUGCUGCCCUUUCUGCUCCUUCUUCUACUUUACCUUUGUGCUCCUUCUGAUUCUUUCUGCUCAUUUACCUCUAUGCUUCUUCUGUCCCUCCUUCCUGCUCCUUCCUGUUCCUUGAUGGCCCAUUCUGCUCCAUGCUGACCCUUUCUGAUCCUUGCUGCCCCUUCCUGUUCCUUUCUGCUACUUCUCCUAUUUAACCUUUGUGCUCCUUCU